rnacentral:rRNA from 1 species
UGGUGGAGUGAUUUGUCUGGUUAAUUCCGUUAACGAACGAGACCUCGACCUGCUAAAUAGUUCACGGAAACCUUGGUUUCCGUCGGCACUUCUUAGAGGGACUAUCGUUGUAAGACGAUGGAAGUUCGAGGCAAUAACA